rnacentral:rRNA from 1 species
GAUGAACGCUGGCGGCGUGCCUAAUACAUGCAAGUCGAGCGAACGGACGAGAAGCUUGCUUCUCUGAUGUUAGCGGCGGACGGGUGAGUAACACGUGGAUAACCUACCUAUAAGACUGGGAUAACUUCGGGAAACCGGAGCUAAUACCGGAUAAUAUUUUGAACCGCAUGGUUCAAAAGUGAAAGACGGUCUUGCUGUCACUUAUAGAUGGAUCCGCGCUGCAUUAGCUAGUUGGUAAGGUAACGGCUUACCAAGGCAACGAUGCAUAGCCGACCUGAGAGGGUGAUCCGCCACACUGGAACUGCGACACGGUCCAGACUCCUACGGGAGGCAGCAGUAGGGAAUCUUCCGCAAUGGGCGCAAGCCUGACGGAGCAACGCCGCGUGAGUGAUGAAGGUCUUCGGAUCGUAAAACUCUGUUAUUAGGGAAGAACAUAUGUGUAAGUAACUGUGCACAUCUUGACGGUACCUAAUCAGAAAGCCACGGCUAACUACGUG